GUUGCCAGAGUAGAUAUGGGGACAGAGUAGGCAAUGCGGUUUGUUACAGGAAUUGGUUCCUGGGUUACUGUUUCCGUGGUGUGUGUGGAGUUGCUGGUGAGUAU